ensembl:lincRNA
UUGUCGCCCCCAGCGCCGCCGCCUGCACCACCCGCGCCGCCCCCGUUGGAGGCGACCGAGGAGAGUUUGGAGGAGGGCGAGGGGUCGGGCUUCCCGAUCUGCGAACAUGUUUGCGCCAGCAGCGCCAGCGGGCUCUUCUUGGCAUCGAGCUGCAGGGUCACAUGGGGAGGGAGGGUCACACAGAGAAAGAGGGGAAACCCUUUAGAUUCCUGGCUUUUACGGUUCUAAAACCCCUCCGCGACGGUCUGCAAAGACCAUCAUAGCCCCAAGGUUCAAUCCGAGGCGGCACCUCCUCCAUACCCACCAGAGAAGAUUCUCGCCCUUAGAGAAGGCACAGCCCCCGCCCCCAGUCUGGGUCCUGCCUGCAUUCUCCAAGCUCUAAUGGAUUUGGAGAAGGGGCAUUCAAUAUGUUUUGGUUUUCUUAGAGCCAGAGCUAUAAUCCCCUCCCAGCAUACACUUUGGUUUUUCAAAGCAAGGGCUUGGGAGGCUGGGGCCACUGAACACACAUUCUAGCUUCUCGGGGAGCCCGAGGAUGGUGACUUUGGGACGUAUUUUGGGCCUCGCCCGCCUUCGGGACUCAGUGGGUGGGGGCUUGUUUUGGGGUAGGGUCUUUAAUACUAAAAGGAAAAACAAGUUUGGGCCGCCGCGCCCCCUCGCAUUCGGACCGCAUUCCACCUUUCCCCUUUCCGCCCUAGUUUCCAGGUGCGGAAACCCUGUCCUCUACCCCCAUCCCGGAGCUGAUUCACUCCGUUACCCCACCCCCACCCUCCGAUCCCAGCAGAAAGAAACCCUGCAGGGAGGCAGUCCGGGUGGUGGCCCCAGCCUGACCCUUGGAGAGGACCCUUACCUCGAUGGGGCUGACGGGCGUGGAGGGCAGGGGCUGCAGAAUCCACGGAUUUCUCUGGCUGUCGUUUGUGCUGAAUUUAUCCAAAUUUGAAUUUAUUCAAAGCCAGCAAUCAGGCAUCCAGCAGAACCAGCUUUCUACUGGCAAGUACUGUACACUACGCCUCGCCUGGCCAGGGGUGAGGGGGUGGCUCUUGGGGCACAGGGGUGGCGAGUAUCAUCUCCGAGGUCAGAUGUACCAAAGGUGCCCUCAGGCCCAGCAGUCUCUCGCUGCCCAGCAGUGUCUGGCCGCCCCUGCUUUGCCUAACACCCAAAACAAGCCAGGCCAAGUCCGCUCUCAGCGAAAACUGAAAGGAAACUCUACUGCAGGCGUAGCCCGAAGUUUCUUUGAAGCAAGUUUGCAACUGAGAUUAUUGACGGCUUUGGGAGGACAGCGGGCUCAUGUGAGCGCUCUCCCGGUGGGGUGGGGUCUAAGAAGGGCACCGGGUGCCCUGUCGUGGCCCUAGGUGAAAACACUAGGGAAGCCCGCCGCUCCUUCGAAACUCUUCGGCUCUGGAUGGUAAAAAGAAAGAAAGUUUCCAAGCUACCACGGACAACCUGCAUGGAUCUCGCUAGGGGGGCAACGGGAGGGGGCUGGCUUUGGAAAAGUUGCUGAAAGCCCUGCUCAGAAACGUCACCCUAUGAAACUCAAAAAAACUUAGGACCAGUUUGCCUUCCUUGAGACAGAGUGGUCAGGAAUCAGGCUGGGCAGCCCUCUGCCCACUUCUCAACCCUCACCUCUAGCAAGAGGUCAAAGAACCACCACCGCCAGCGUUGCAAACUUUCAGCUCUGCGCUGCCAACCGCGAACAAGGCCUGGACACAGAGGGAUGGGAGAGACCACCCCCGGCAGGAUGGGAGGAUGAGCGCGGUUCCCCCUAGUUUGUUCCGGGCCCCAGAGUCCAUCCCCCAACCCUAGGCAUUCGGCGCUUUUCCCGGGAGCUGCGGAUUGGGGAGCCUGGUGAGGGGCGCAAAGUGCACGCGCGGACUGGCGCGGGGGCGGCUGCUCGUCAGGCUGCUCGUCUCGCCGCGGGGCCUGUCGCCGGGCUGGCCGCGGCGGGUGAGUGAUGAGGGCAGAGAAGGGCGCCCAUAAAUCGUGGGUGUCAGGGCGAAAAACUCUCUUUAUUGUCUGCGUGAUGGAUGGGCCCGGGGACGAGACACCAAAUACUUCGUAUCGCCUUUAAAUGGGAACACAUUUUCCGCGGCCAUAAUUCAUGUUUUUUAAAUAGAAAGUUUGAAAUGUUGCCUAUAUUUCACCGGCCCUGACAUAUUUAUGAAUCGCUCCUUGCAUGCAAAUAUCAUUAUUUAAAGUGCCAGGGAGAGCACGGGGGAGGGGGUAAGGCGCGGCCCCGGGGCGUAGGGGUGGUGAACCGGGGAGAUGUCGGUGGAGGGGGGACAUCUCCCUAAAGGGAAGAGGAUGGAGCGUGGGGGAAAGCCGUGUUUGGAAGCUGAGCGCACCCUGGGGCUUCUCUUCUGCCGCCAGACAGUGCGCUGCCACAGUAGGGUGGUGGGGAGCGCGGUUUGGGGUGCAAAACAAGCCCCAGUCUCCUGCCCCUAGACCAGAAGAUAUUUUGGGUCUCUCUCCAGAGGACUGGAUCCAAACUGAAGCCACCUUUUCCAAGAAGUAAAAAAAAAAAAAAAAAAAAAAAAAAAAAAAAGAAUAAUUUAACAAACGCAAAUAAUAACCCAACAUCUUUCAUGUUCUUUGCUAUUGCAUUGAUUUUAUUGAUUUUCAUUCUGCAAAACUGGGAUUGUGCGCACCCGGACCAGGCGGCAGCCAGAAACCAGUCACCGCAGGGGGUAGGUGGGGGGGAUAAGCCUCGGGUACCACCGCCCCAUCCGCCCCCACCCAGCCGCCUCAACGUCUCCCAGGCACAAUGGAGAUUGCGCAAGACGCGGGACACAGAUGACCCGGCCCCCCAGCUCCGGGGCUUUAGUCCCUCCCCUUCUUUGCCCCAGUGCACCGCAGAGCUUCCAGGGUCCGCAGCUACCCUCCCGGACCCCCUACGGUCAGAAUGAUCGCUUUGGAAAAAAAGCCAAGCCCAGGCCGUCGCUUAUUCCCAGUCAUCCUGCCCUGGAAGCGCCUACACCUGCGCCCUUACUUGCCAAGACUUUACCUGUGCGGUCCCGAGCCGCGCCUGCGGCCGCGCAGAUUACACAAAAAUGGUAGGGAGGGUGGGAGAGUGGGUGGGUCAGAGAGCAACACCCGAGAGGGCCAGAGGCGCGGACCCAGGUGAGUCAGUGUGGACCCGAUGCUGGGGCCCUGGCCCAACCGGUUAGCGGAGCCGAAUUGCACGGGGAAGAUCCGGCUCGAGGAAGGACGAAGGCAACAAGGCUGGGGAAGUAGGGGCGGUCCCAGAGGCACUUCCGCUGGAGGUGGGGCUGCGGACUGAACCGCUGA